UACGUAGGGUGCAAGCGUUAAUCGGAAUUACUGGGCGUAAAGCGUGCGCAGGCGGUGAUGUAAGACAGGUGUGAAAUCCCCGGGCUUAACCCGGGAACUGCAUUUGUGACUGCAUCGCUGGAGUGCGGCAGAGGGGGAUGGAAUUCCGCGUGUAGCAGUGAAAUGCGUAGAUAUGCGGAGGAACACCGAUGGCGAAGGCAAUCCCCUGGGCCUGCACUGACGCUCAUGCACGAAAGCGUGGGGAGCAAACAGG
rnacentral:rRNA from 1 species